GAUGAACGCUAGCUACAGGCUUAACACAUGCAAGUCGAGGGGAAACGAUAUUGGAAGCUUGCUUCUGAUAGGCGUCGACCGGCGCACGGGUGAGUAACGCGUAUCCAACCUGCCCAUCACUUGGGGAUAACCUUGCGAAAGUAAGACUAAUACCCAAUGACGUCUCUAGAAGACAUCUGAAAGAGAUUAAAGAUUUAUCGGUGAUGGAUGGGGAUGCGUCUGAUUAGCUUGUUGGCGGGGUAACGGCCCACCAAGGCGACGAUCAGUAGGGGUUCUGAGAGGAAGGUCCCCCACAUUGGAACUGAGACACGGUCCAAACUCCUACGGGAGGCAGCAGUGAGGAAUAUUGGUCAAUGGACGAGAGUCUGAACCAGCCAAGUAGCGUGCAGGAAGACGGCCCUAUGGGUUGUAAACUGCUUUUAUAAGGGAAUAAAAGUGAGUCUCGUGAGACUUUUUGCAUGUACCUUAUGAAUAAGGACCGGCUAAUUCCGUGCCAGCAGCCG
rnacentral:rRNA from 1 species